CACCAGCUUUUAUAUCUUGAGGACGAAAAGAGGAAGUGUAUUUUUGACAUCCGUCAACGACAGCUUGGACACACCUUCCAAGCACAUGAUGAACCAAUCAGAUGUCUAGCCAUGGAUCCAGAGGAGGAGUACUUUGUCACUGGGUCUGCUGAGGGAGAUAUAAAGGUCUGGGGUUUGGAUGUUCAUCAGCUGGUUGUCAAUUUCCCAGGAGAACACCGUAAAAGUAUAUUUUUUAAGAGCAUUGGUUCAGCCUCAGGUCACUGUAACACAGGUAGCCAUUUGGCCAGAACAUAAUCUGUUUUCUUGUGGAAUUGAUGGAUCCAUGAAGUUUCGAUCACUACCCGAGAGGGAAACCAUGGUGCCAUAUUGGACAGCAUAAUUAUAUAUUUAUUUUAGUGUAGAGCAGAUGUGGCAUGUUUAUUGAAAUAGCUUAAUUACUAUAAAUGGUCACAUUCUGAGAAGACAAAUAGAAAAUCUAUCAGUCCAAAUCUUUAUCAUUCCAAUACAUAGGCGUCAGUAACAAAUAAAACGUGGGAGGGGAGUAAUAAACCCCAAAAAGGAAAAGCCGCAUUUUCAAUGCUUAUAUGAUGUAUAUCUUUCCAAAAGAAGUGGGGAGCUAAGCCCCCUUCUCUUGCCCUUCGCCCAGUUUCGAUGCCUAUGCUAUACCCAAAACAGGUACAUGUAUGUAUAUGUAAUAUUUUACAUAACUGGUAUGACGUUGAAAACUUUAAAUAAAAAAUGAGUCAACUUAAAACAGAUGAAAACUAAAAAUAUGUAAGUAAAGUAAAACAUAUGAGAGAGAAAGAACUUUCAUAGAUUUGAAAAAUCAAACUGACCACUUUUUAAGAUAAAUUCAAUGCUUUAAGUCGUUCACUCUUAGC